UACGUAGGGUGCGAGCGUUGUCCGGAAUUAUUGGGCGUAAAGAGCUCGUAGGCGGUUUGUCGCGUCUGCUGUGAAAACCCGAGGCUCAACCUCGGGCCUGCAGUGGGUACGGGGCAGACUAGAGUGCGGUAGGGGAGAUUGGAAUUCCUGGUGUAGCGGUGGAAUGCGCAGAUAUCAGGAGGAACACCGGUGGCGAAGGCGGGUCUCUGGGCAACAACUGACGCUGAGGAGCGAAAGCGUGGGGAGCGAACAGG
rnacentral:rRNA from 1 species